UUAAGCGACUAAGCGUACACGGUGGAUGCCCUGGCAGUCAGAGGCGAUGAAGGACGUGCUAAUCUGCGAAAAGCGUCGGUAAGGUGAUAUGAACCGUUAUAACCGGCGAUGUCCGAAUGGGGAAACCCAGUGCAAUUCGUUGCACUAUCGUUAACUGAAUACAUAGGUUAACGAGGCGAACCGGGGGAACUGAAACAUCUAAGUACCCCGAGGAAAAGAAAUCAACCGAGAUUCCCCCAGUAGCGGCGAGCGAACGGGGAGCAGCCCAGAGUCUGAAUCAGCUUGUGUGUUAGUGGAACGGUCUGGAAAGUCCGACGGUACAGGGUGAUAGUCCCGUACACCAAAAUGCACAGGCUGUGAACUCGAAGAGUAGGGCGGGACACGUGGUAUCCUGUCUGAAUAUGGGGGGACCAUCCUCCAAGGCUAAAUACUCCUGACUGACCGAUAGUGAACCAGUACCGUGAGGGAAAGGCGAAAAGAACCCCGGCGAGGGGAGUGAAAAAGAACCUGAAACCGUGUACGUACAAGCAGUGGGAGCACCUUCGGGUGUGACUGCGUACCUUUUGUAUAAUGGGUCAGCGACUUAUAUUCUGUAGCAAGGUUAACCGUAUAGGGGAGCCGCAGGGAAACCGAGUCUUAACUGGGCGUUAAGUUGCAGGGUAUAGACCCGAAACCCGGUGAUCUAGCCAUGGGCAGGUUGAAGGUUGGGUAACACUAACUGGAGGACCGAACCGACUAAUGUUGAAAAAUUAGCGGAUGACUUGUGGCUGGGGGUGAAAGGCCAAUCAAACCGGGAGAUAGCUGGUUCUCCCCGAAAGCUAUUUAGGUAGCGCCUCGUGAAUUCAUCUUCGGGGGUAGAGCACUGUUUCGGCUAGGGGGUCAUCCCGACUUACCAACCCGAUGCAAACUACGAAUACCGAAGAAUGUUAUCACGGGAGACACACGGCGGGUGCUAACGUCCGUCGUGAAGAGGGAAACAACCCAGACCGCCAGCUAAGGUCCCAAAGUCAUGGUUAAGUGGGAAACGAUGUGGGAAGGCACAGACAGCCAGGAUGUUGGCUUAGAAGCAGCCAUCAUUUAAAGAAAGCGUAAUAGCUCACUGGUCGAGUCGGCCUGCGCGGAAGAUGUAACGGGGCUAAACCAUGCACCGAAGCUGCGGCAGCGACACUAUGUGUUGUUGGGUAGGGGAGCGUUCUGUAAGCCUGCGAAGGUGACCUGUGAGGGUUGCUGGAGGUAUCAGAAGUGCGAAUGCUGACAUAAGUAACGAUAAAGCGGGUGAAAAGCCCGCUCGCCGGAAGACCAAGGGUUCCUGUCCAACGUUAAUCGGGGCAGGGUGAGUCGACCCCUAAGGCGAGGCCGAAAGGCGUAGUCGAUGGGAAACAGGUUAAUAUUCCUGUACUUGGUGUUACUGCGAAGGGGGGACGGAGAAGGCUAUGUUAGCCGGGCGACGGUUGUCCCGGUUUAAGCAUGUAGGCUGGUUAUCCAGGCAAAUCCGGAUAAUCAAGGCUGAGGUGUGAUGACGAGGCACUACGGUGCUGAAGUAACAAAUGCCCUGCUUCCAGGAAAAGCCUCUAAGCAUCAGGUAACAUCAAAUCGUACCCCAAACCGACACAGGUGGUCAGGUAGAGAAUACCAAGGCGCUUGAGAGAACUCGGGUGAAGGAACUAGGCAAAAUGGUGCCGUAACUUCGGGAGAAGGCACGCUGGUGUGUAGGUGAAGCCCCUGCGGGUGGAGCCGAGACCAGUCGAAGAUACCAGCUGGCUGCAACUGUUUAUUAAAAACACAGCACUGUGCAAACACGAAAGUGGACGUAUACGGUGUGACGCCUGCCCGGUGCCGGAAGGUUAAUUGAUGGGGUUAUCCGUAAGGAGAAGCUCUUGAUCGAAGCCCCGGUAAACGGCGGCCGUAACUAUAACGGUCCUAAGGUAGCGAAAUUCCUUGUCGGGUAAGUUCCGACCUGCACGAAUGGCGUAAUGAUGGCCAGGCUGUCUCCACCCGAGACUCAGUGAAAUUGAACUCGCUGUGAAGAUGCAGUGUACCCGCGGCAAGACGGAAAGACCCCGUGAACCUUUACUAUAGCUUGACACUGAAUAUUGAGCCUUGAUGUGUAGGAUAGGUGGGAGGCUUUGAAGCGUGGACGCCAGUCUGCGUGGAGCCAACCUUGAAAUACCACCCUUUAAUGUUUGAUGUUCUAACGUUGGCCCCUGACCGGGGUUGCGGACAGUGUCUGGUGGGUAGUUUGACUGGGGCGGUCUCCUCCCAAAGCGUAACGGAGGAGCACGAAGGUUAGCUAAUCCUGGUCGGACAUCAGGAGGUUAGUGCAAUGGCAUAAGCUAGCUUGACUGCGAGCGUGACGGCGCGAGCAGGUGCGAAAGCAGGUCAUAGUGAUCCGGUGGUUCUGAAUGGAAGGGCCAUCGCUCAACGGAUAAAAGGUACUCCGGGGAUAACAGGCUGAUACCGCCCAAGAGUUCAUAUCGACGGCGGUGUUUGGCACCUCGAUGUCGGCUCAUCACAUCCUGGGGCUGAAGUAGGUCCCAAGGGUAUGGCUGUUCGCCAUUUAAAGUGGUACGCGAGCUGGGUUUAGAACGUCGUGAGACAGUUCGGUCCCUAUCUGCCGUGGGCGCUGGAGAAUUGAGGGGGGCUGCUCCUAGUACGAGAGGACCGGAGUGGACGCAUCACUGGUGUUCGGGUUGUCAUGCCAAUGGCACUGCCCGGUAGCUAAAUGCGGAAGAGAUAAGUGCUGAAAGCAUCUAAGCACGAAACUUGCCCCGAGAUGAGUUCUCCCUGAGACUUUAAGUCUCCUGAAGGAACGUUGAAGACGAUGACGUUGAUAGGCCGGGUGUGUAAGCGCAGCGAUGCGUUGAGCUAACCGGUACUAAUGAACCGUGAGGCUUAACCUU
rnacentral:rRNA from 1 species